rnacentral:lncRNA from 1 species
GCAAAACAAAAUUCGCAAAGGGACGAAAUUUGGAAGAGAAAUUUGGACGAGAUGUAAAUUUUGAUGUGCUAGAAUCAAUGAGAUGGGUAAUGAUUUGUGCAAAUUUGGAGGACAAACUUGCCAAGAGGAUUUUUGCUACACAUCAUGCAAGCUUUGCUGUGUAGGACGAAGAUACAAAUUCGGAAGAGAAACUUGGACGGGAUCAAUGUGAA